UCCGUAGGUGAACCUGCCGAGGGAUCAUUA
rnacentral:rRNA from 2 species